rnacentral:rRNA from 1 species
AUUGAACGCUGGCGGCAUGCUUUACACAUGCAAGUCGAACGGUAGAGGGGGCAACCCCUUGAGAGUGGCGAACGGGUGAGUAAUGCAUCGGAACGUGCCCAGUCGUGGGGGAUAACGCAGCGAAAGCUGCGCUAAUACCGCAUACGAUCUGAGGAUGAAAGCGGGGGAGCGUAAGGCCGCGCGCGAUCGGAGCGGCCGAUGUCAGAUUAGGUAGUUGGUCGGGUAAAGGCUCACCAAGCCAACGAACUUUAGCUGGUCUGAGAGGACGACCAGCCACACUGGGACUGAGACACGGCCCAGACUCCUACGGGAGGCAGCAGUGGGGAAUUUUGGACAAUGGGCGAAAGCCUGAUCCAGCAAUGCCGCGUGCAGGAAGAAGGCCUUCGGGUUGUAAACUGCUUUUGUACGGAGCGAAAAGGUCUCCUCUAAUACAGGGGGCUCAUGACGGUACCGUAAGAAUAAGCGCCGGCUAACUACGUGCCAGCCGCCGCCGUAA